rfam:Sphaerobacter thermophilus DSM 20745 chromosome 1, complete sequence.
CGCUCAUCCAGAGUGGUGGAGGGAACGGCCCUGCGAAGCCCGGCAACCAGCGCGUACUGCGCCAGGUGCCAAUGCCGGCGGACAGUGUCCGCACGAUGAGCG